rnacentral:rRNA from 1 species
UACGGAGGGUGCGAGCGUUGUCCGGAAUCACUGGGCGUAAAGGGCGCGUAGGCGGCAGGCCAAGCGUGCGGUGAAAGUCCGGGGCUCAACCCCGGAUCUGCCGUGCGGACUGGUUUGCUAGAGCACUGUAGAGGCGAGUGGAAUUCCGGGUGUAGCGGUGGAAUGCGUAGAGAUCCGGAAGAACACCGGUGGCGAAGGCGGCUCGCUGGGCAGUGGCUGACGCUGAGGCGCGACAGCGUGGGGAGCGAACAGG